GCUGGGCAUAGUGGCCCAUGCCUAUAGUCCCAGCUACUAAGGAGGCUGAGGCAGGAGGAUCGCUUGAGCCCAGGAGUUCUGGGCUUCAGUGAGCUAUGAUGGUGCCACUGCACUCCAGCCUGUGCCACAGAGCAAUGCCCUGCCUCAG
rfam:Gorilla gorilla gorilla genomic chromosome, chr5, whole genome shotgun sequence